rnacentral:rRNA from 1 species
GACGAACGCUGGCGGCGUGCUUAACACAUGCAAGUCGAACGGAAAGGCCUGCUUUCCCUUGUGCUUUGCGGGUACUCGAGUGGCGAACGGGUGAGUAACACGCGAGUGAUCUGCCCCCAACUUGCGUCUAAGCCUGGGAAACUGUGUCUAAUUCCCUAUAGGACUGCAGGGUGGUGCCUGUGGUGGCAAACGUUUUUCUAGUGGUUGGGGAUGAGCUCGCGGCCUAUCAGCUUGUUGGUGGGGUAGUGGCCUACCAAGGCGGCGACGGGUAGCCGGCCUGGGAGGGUGGACGGCCACAUUGGGAAUGAGGUACGGACCAGACUGCUACGGGAGGGAGCGGUAGGGAAUAUUGCACGAUGGGGGGAGGCGUGAUGCAGCGGCGCCGGGUGGGAGAUGACGGGCUUCGGGUUGUAAACUCAUUAGGGAAGAGAGGAAGCCAACUGAUUGGAAGGGUGGUGACGGUAGUGGAAGAAGAAGCACCGGCUAACUACGGGC